rnacentral:rRNA from 1 species
CCUACGGGAGGCAGCAGUGGGGAAUAUUGCGCAAUGGGCGAAAGCCUGACGCAGCGACGCCGCGUGAGGGAUGAAGGUCUUCGGAUCGUAAACCUCUGUCAGCAGGGAAGAACGGUCACUGUGCUAAUCAGCAGUGAAUUGACGGUACCUGCAAAGGAAGCACCGGCUAACUCCGUGCCAGCAGCCGCGGUAAUACGGAGGGUGCGGGCGUUAAUCGGAAUUACUGGGCGUAAAGCGAUCGUAGGCGGUAUGUCAAGUCAAGGGUGAAAGCCCGGCGCUCAACGUGGGAACUGCCUUUGAAACGGGCAAACUGGAGUGUGGGAGAGGAUAGUGGAAUUCCAGGUGUAGGAGUGAAAUCCGUAGAUAUCUGGAGGAACAUCAGUGGCGAAGGCGACUAUCUGGCACAUAACUGACGCUGAGGAGCGAAAGCGUGGGUAGCAAACAGGAUUAGAUACCCCAGUAGUC